UAGACCCAUCACCCCACCCCCUCGGCUUAGUCUCCUUCAAGACCCACCCCUCCCUGAAAAGAACCAGUAGAACACUGCUCCAAGACCACAUUUUCUUCACAAGAACAGUCACGCAUAUACUCACGGGAGAGACAGAAAAUCGGGACAAAAGGAGAGGAGAAAAGUUCUAGAGGGAUUUCGAUUGAGGUUUGGUUCUGAGUUCGUUCGUCGAUAGGAGAUUUCCGUUGCCAAGUCGAGUUUUGCCAACCGGUUCGCGAUCUCAGCUGCAUUUUGUUGCUUUAUUGUUGAUUUCCUUCAACUUUUCUCCAUUGUAUUCAUUUGGGGAGCAUUCGAGCUAAUUGAAAGUCCAUUUGAGUAAGUGUUUUAGGAUACGCUUAGAGUGUUUCAAUAUGGUAGGAUUAUAUGUUCCUCGUUGAUUUCCAUCUGGUUUUGAGUGUGAUUUUUUGUAUCAUGGACAUAUAUAUACUUGGGUCUUAAGUGGAAUACGCUAAUUUGUUUCUUUUAAGUAUGAGCAUGAAGCGGGUUUAAUUGUUCUCUCUAUGUGAUUUUCAAUCCACGGUUUAAUUUGGUCAACUUAAGGUUGAUGGAUUGUUCUUAUUAUUUUCAAGAUUAGUUUAAUCUUCAAAGAUUUAAUUUCAUGUUUAGUGUAGUUAAAUAUACAUUUAUAUAUAUUGCUUUAGGAUCUUCAUGUUAGGGUAUCACGAGAUUAGUGCUCUUUGUCAAAGUUCAUAUGCCCAUUUUCCCUUUAUUGCUUGAUAGCUCCAUCCUGAUAAUUGCUUGGAUUGGUUUUCUUGUUUGAUCAAUUGGUAGUACUGGUUAGCUUUCUUGGAAUGUAUAUUUGGAUUAAUAAGUGCAUUUUCAAAAAUUGGCAAAUGUUGAAGGAGGAGAAAAGUUACUGAAUUCUUAUUAUUUUCCGUUUUGGUUGUACCCUGGGGCUACAUAACAUGGUCCAAAUUUCCUCCUUGGUUUGAAGCCUGAUCAUGCUUAAUUUCAUUUCUGAUUCGUUGGUGUUGAUCUGUUAUGCUUUCUUCAUUUUACUAGUAGUAUCAAAAUUUUGGGCAAAGUAUACUGAGUUUGAGUUUUUAAUUGGUUACUAGAUACUGCUGAUUUCUGUAAGCUCUUGUUGAAAAAUUCUUUGCAAGCUUGUAAUCACAUUGAAGGUUGUCGAUUAAGCAUAGACUAGAAUAACUUCUGGUUCUGAGUGUAAUUUUGGUUUCAAGUCUGCAUUUUGUUGAGAAGCUGAGCGUAGAGAGUGUUGAACUAAGUUUGGGAGAUUUAGUUGUCUAAAAGGAUUCAAAUUCCAACUGUGGUUGAAAGUAAUUAGAAAGUCUUUAAAGAUAGCCUAAGAAUUGUUUAAUAAAAGGGAUUAUCUACCUAACCAACUAAAGAAGCUUCUAGUAGUGGUAGGGUUCAGAUUUCAUUAUUGAAAUUUAAUUCAAUAAGGUUUGAGUGGAAUACUCUUUUAAAAUAUUGAAACUGCAUUUUGUGAAUGAAAGGGCAUUCUCCAUUUCUUAUUUAAGGAGUUCAUAGAUAGAGAAAAAAAGGACGGAGAUAGAAACACAAGAGAGAGUCAAAAGAGACAUCAGAGAGAACAAUAUAGAGAGGAAAGAGUCCAAAGAGGGAAAGAAAAAAAGAGAGCUGAAAACAAGUUCUAAAAUUCAAAAAAUGAGAUUCCAUAUCUGAGAAUCAUAAUCCAAGAAAAAUAGAAAGAAAACUGGAAUUUCCGAUGAAGAUUUGAAGAGAAAUAAUUUGAAAAUUCGAUUUCUUUCUUUCUGGGCUUCGAAAAGUUGUUCUUGAGCUGUGGAAUAGCUGUAUUGUCGCUGUUGUUGCUGGCAACCGUACUGAGCUCUGUUUGGUUUCGAUUUCGCCUUUAUUUGCCCAACUUGUUGGUGAUUUCACUGUUCAGCUAGCUAUGCAGGAGAAGGUGACAAGGCUUACAUUCGAGCUUGAAGCGGCCAAUGAAUGAGAAAGCUUAGAGAUGCACAACUCCUUGGUAUGCAAGCUCAAAUCAGAACUCUCCUUUCUUCUGGAGAUUUUCUAUUGCCUCGGUCUCGUGAGUCAUCGCUAAAGGCCCGACCUCCGCGUGAUCGUUCCUCCCGUCCUCCCCGUGAUCGUUCUGCUCGUCCUCCACAUGAUUGUUCUUCCCCUUAUCCACAAGACCGUUGUUACCGUCUUCUAGAUGAAAGUUCAUCAGAUAAUGGUGAUGCUGUGAGAAAUACACCUUGAACAAUACAUUGAUAUACUUUGAACUAGACUAAUAGAACUUGUUUUGAAUUCGAAUGAACAUUUUUGAUCUUAUUGUAAUUACUUAGUUCUUAAUUGGUUUUGAAUUGUGUUGUUUAAUUGAACUUGUUUAUUCUAAAAUAUUGAUUGGGAUGUUUGGUUGGAUAUGGGUGUAUGGGUGAUUGGAUUUGUGGUGAAUUGAGGGUUAUUUGAUGUGAA